rnacentral:rRNA from 1 species
UACGUAGGGGGCUAGCGUUGUCCGGAAUCAUUGGGCGUAAAGAGCGUGUAGGCGGCUCGAUAAGUCCGCUGUGAAAGUCCAGGGCUCAACCCUGGGAUGCCGGUGGAUACUGUCGGGCUCGAGUCCGGAAGAGGCGAGUGGAAUUCCUGGUGUAGCGGUGAAAUGCGCAGAUAUCAGGAGGAACACCAAUGGCGAAGGCGGCGACCUGGGCCAAUACUGACGCUGAGGUGCGAAAGCGUGGGGAGCAAACAGG